GGCCAGGCUGUCUCCACCCGAGACUCAGUGAAAUUGAACUCGCUGUGAAGAUGCAGUGUACCCGCGGCAAGACGGAAAGACCCCGUGAACCUUUACUAUAGCUUGACACUGAACAUUGAGCCUUGAUGUGUAGGAUAGGUGGGAGGCUUUGAAGUGUGGACGCCAGUCUGCAUGGAGCCGACCUUGAAAUACCACCCUUUAAUGUUUGAUGUUCUAACGUGGACCCGUAAUCCGGGUUGCGGACAGUGUCUGGUGGGUAGUUUGACUGGGGCGGUCUCCUCCUAAAGAGUAACGGAGGAGCACGAAGGUUGGCUAAUCCUGGUCGGACAUCAGGAGGUUAGUGCAAUGGCAUAAGCCAGCUUGACUGCGAGCGUGACGGCGCGAGCAGGUGCGAAAGCAGGUCAUAGUGAUCCGGUGGUUCUGAAUGGAAGGGCCAUCGCUCAACGGAUAAAAGGUACUCCGGGGAUAACAGGCUGAUACCGCCCAAGAGUUCAUAUCGACGGCGGUGUUUGGCACCUCGAUGUCGGCUCAUCACAUCCUGGGGCUGAAGUAGGUCCCAAGGGUAUGGCUGUUCGCCAUUUAAAGUGGUACGCGAGCUGGGUUUAGAACGUCGUGAGACAGUUCGGUCCCUAUCUGCCGUGGGCGCUGGAGAACUGAGGGGGGCUGCUCCUAGUACGAGAGGACCGGAGUGGACGCAUCACUGGUGUUCGGGUUGUCAUGCCAAUGGCACUGCCCGGUAGCUAAAUGCGGAAGAGAUAAGUGCUGAAAGCAUCUAAGCACGAAACUUGCCCCGA
rnacentral:rRNA from 1 species